UUGGUGAACCAGCGGAGGGAUCAUUUA
rnacentral:rRNA from 1 species